AGUAGAGAGAUGGGAAUCGAACCCACAGUGUUCCGCUUACCAGGCAGAUGCCAUGUCCACUAGGUUACCC
rnacentral:tRNA from 1 species